UGACAUGGAGGUUCUAUAUUUCGCAGCAUAUUGCAGGGUUGAAAUCUCACAUGGUGCAAUUCACUCGGACGAAAAUUUCAUACUUGUAGUUCACUGAAUUCGUGCAGGUUGUUUGAAUUCCAUAGCUGGAAGUGACGGAACUUCAAGUGAACCGCUCUGCAUAUUUCCAAGUCUUCUGCUCCGGUUCGAUUGGGAAUUCCGUGGCGGCGUUGCUGGGUGUCCGUCACAUCGCCGACAUCGUUUCAACGUCAUCGAUUGGGGAAGAAUCCUUGAGGAGUCGCUUGAGCUGAGGUACACCCACUUAGGGCUCAGCCUGGAGAUUCACCAAUCGAGAUCCAUCUUCAACGCGGUCUCACCGGGUGCAUUGCCGUCUGCCUAAGUUACAACAUGGCGCCAGGAGUGGUUACUCAGGUCGUGCAAGGCAUCAGUGCGCUUGCCAGCGUUUGGUUAAUCAAAUCCAUCGUAGACGCUGAAAAAGAGAAGACCGUGACCCGAUUCAGCCAGUGCCCGACGUGCAACGGAUCCAGGCGAGUGCCUUGCAUGUGCACGCGGUGGUCGGACAACGACGUGGGAUGCAACACAUGCGCAGGCUCUGGCAUGAUGCGGUGCAACUCCUGCGGCGGCAGUGGGACAGGGAGGCCGAUUCCUGUGGAGAUCCGAGCUUCCAAUCCGCCGCGAAACCCUUGAUUGUGUCAGAUGAGUCUCCUGCUUCGCAACUCAAAAACACGCUGGCAUAAAUCUCAUUUCGUUGUGUGAGAAUUUCAGAGCGCUUUUGCAGCAUUCCUUUCGCACCCAUAUCAAAAUAAUAGUGUGGAAAACGAGAACGAAAACCUAAACCUUGCACAGAUUUAGGGUUUUGUAAGACAGCCUGCAAGCCAGUCAGUGAUGGGUUAGGGUAGUUUUAGGGUUUGUAGGGUGAAUUUUGGCCAUUUCAAGCUUUGUUCAAAUUCUCGUCGUGUAUACUAAUUCUUCUCAUUAAUUUUUUUAACUCGUCCAUUUUGCAGCUUGUGGCUGGGGUUUUGAGUGCUCUGACCUUGUAAGCAAGUAAUAUGUCAAUUGUGUUCAUACAAGACCAAUGGGGUUAAGUGUUGCAGAACUGGUUGAAUAGCAGUUCAUUGUUAACAGCGAUUUCUAGUUGUUAGUCUGGUGUGAUGUGGAUAGUGUAUCUGCAAAUAUGGUUGUGCCUUUGAAGUCUAGAAGGGGGACUUUGGAUAUACUCCAUUAAGCUUCUGUCAAAACUGCCAGCGAUGUCUGAUCCAUAAUCCACAUUUUGCCUUACUUUGGAUCUACA